rnacentral:rRNA from 1 species
GACGAACGCUGGCGGCGUGCUUAACACAUGCAAGUCGAACGGUAAGGCCCUUCGGGGUACACGAGUGGCGAACGGGUGAGUAACACGUGGGUGAUCUGCCCUGCACUUCGGGAUAAGCCUGGGAAACUGGGUCUAAUACCGGAUAGGACUCCUGGCUUCAUGGUUGAGGGUGGAAAGCUUUUGCGGUGUGGGAUGGGCCCGCGGCCUAUCAGCUUGUUGGUGGGGUAAUGGCCUACCAAGGCGACGACGGGUAGCCGGCCUGAGAGGGUGACCGGCCACACUGGGACGGAGAAACGGCCCAGACUCCUACGGGAGGCAGCAGGGGGUAAUAUUGCACAAUGGGCGCAAGCCUGAUGCAGCGACGCCGCGUGAGAGAUGACGGCCUUCGGGUUGUAAACCUCUUUCAGCACCGACGAAGCGCAAGUGACGGUAGGUGCAGAAGAAGGACCGGCCAACUACGUGCCAGCCGCCGCCGUAA